rnacentral:rRNA from 1 species
CGGGAGGCAGCAGUAGGAAUAUUGCCCAAUGGACGAAGUCUGAGACAGCAACGCCGCGUGCACGAUGAAGGCCUUCGGGUUGUAAAGUGCUUUUCUGGAGGACGAGAAAGGACGGUACUUCAGGAAUAAGGAUCGGCUAACUACGUGCCAGCAGCCGCGGUAACACGUAGGAUCCGAGCGUUAUCCGAAUUUACUGGGCGUAAAGCGCGUGUAGGCGGUUUAGUAAGUUGGAUGUGAAAGCUCCCGGCUCAACUGGGAGAGGCCGUUCAAAACUACUAAACUCGAGGACGGUAGAGGGAGGUGGAAUUCCCGGUGUAGUAGUGAAAUGCGUAGAUAUCGGGAGGAACACCAGUGGCGAAGGCGGCCUCCUGGACCGUUCCUGACGCUCAGACGCGAAAGCUAGGGGAGCGAACGGGAUUAGAAACCCCGGUAGUCCUAGCUGUAAACGAUGUGAACUUGGCGUCGGUGGGGUAAAAUCCAUCGGUGCCGUAGCCAACGCGAUAAGUUCACCGCCUGAGGACUACGGCCGCAAGGUUA